GCGCAAUCCACGCUGGAAACGCCGGUUCUCGUCUGAUCACUAAAGUUAAGCAACUUCGGGCCCAGUUAGUACUUGGAUAGGCGGGAAUUCCGGGUGUUGCGAGU
rnacentral:rRNA from 1 species